rnacentral:sRNA from 1 species
GCCAGGCGUGGUGGCGCAUGCCUGUAUUCCCAGCAACUCAGGAGGCUUAGGUAGGAGGAUUGCAAGUUCAAAGCCAGCCUCAGCAAUGGCGAGGCACUAAGUGACUCAGUGAGACCCUGUCCCU